CAAGUCGAACGGUAGCAGCAGAAGCUUGCUUCUGGCUGACGAGUGGCGGACGGGUGAGUAACGCGUGGGAAUCUACCCUUUAGCGGGGGGCAACUCGAGGGAAACUCGAGCUAAUACCGCAUAAUCCCUUCGGGGCAAAGGCUUCGGGCCACUAUUGGAUGAGCCCGCGUCCGAUUAGCUUGUUGGUAGGGGUAAUGGCCUACCAAGGCGACGAUCGGUAGCUGGUCUGAGAGGACGAUCAGCCACACUGGGACUGAGACACGGCCCAGACUCC
rnacentral:rRNA from 1 species